rnacentral:rRNA from 1 species
AGCGAACGCUGGCGGCAGGCUUAACACAUGCAAGUCGAGCGGGCAUCCUUGUGGUGUCAGCGGCAGACGGGUGAGUAACGCGUGGGAACGUGCCCUUCGGUUCGGAAUAACUCAGGGAAACUUGAGCUAAUACCGGAUACGUGCGAGAGCAGAAAGGUUUAUCUGCCGAAGGAACGGCCCGCGUCUGAUUAGCUAGUUGGUGAGGUUAUGGCUCACCAAGGCGACGAUCAGUAGCUGGUCUGAGAGGAUGAUCAGCCACACUGGGACUGAGGCACGGCCCAGACUCCUACGGGAGGCAGCAGUGGGGAAUAUUGGACAAUGGGGGCAACCCUGAUCCAGCCAUGCCGCGUGAGUGAUGACGGCCUUAGGGUUGUAAAGCUCUUUUCUCCGGGACGAUAAUGACGGUACCGGAGGAAUAAGCCCCGGCUAACUUCGUG